rnacentral:rRNA from 1 species
GAUGAACGCUGGCGGCGUGCCUAACACAUGCAAGUCGAACGGAGGAGGCGGAGCUUGCUCUGCUGGAUCAGUGGCGAACGGGUGAGUAACACGUGUGCAAACUGCACCUGACUCUGGGAUAAGCGCUGGGAACGGCGGCUAAUACUGGAUACGAGCUGCUGAGGCAUCUUCAGCAGCUGGAAAGAAGUGCGGUCAGGGAUGGGUUCGCGGGCUAUCAGCUUGUUGGUGAGGUAAUGGCUCACCAAGGCGUCGACGGGUAGGCGGCCUGAGAGGGUGACCGGCCACACGGGGACUGAGAGACGGCCCAGACUGCUACGGGAGGCAGCAGUGGGGAAUAUUGCAGAGUGGGCGCAAGCCUGAUGCAGCAACGCCGGGUGAGUGAAGACGGCCUUCGGGUUGUAAACAUAUGUGAGAAGGGAAGAAGCGAAAGUGACGGUACCUGCAGAAAAAGCGACGGCUAACUACGUG